GACGAACGCUGGCGGCGUGCCUAAUACAUGCAAGUAGGACGCAGUUGCGAACGGGUGAGUAACGCGUAGGUAACUGCCUAUUAGAGGGGGAUAACUAUUGGAAACGAUAGCUAAUACCGCAUACUAGUAGAUGGACCUGCGUUGUAUUAGCUAGUAGGUAGGGUAAUGGCCUACCUAGGGAACGAUACAAAGCCGACCUGGGAGGGUGAUCGGCCACACUUGGACUGAGACACGGCCCCGACUCCUACGGGAGGCAGCAGUAGGGAAUCUUUGGCAAUGGGGGGAACCCUGACCGAGCAACGCCGCGUGAGUGAAGGAGGUUUUCGGAUCGGAAAGCUAUUUUGUUAAGGAAGCGGUACUUAACCAGAAAGGGACGGCUAACUACGUGCCAGCAGCCGCGGUAAUUC
rnacentral:rRNA from 1 species